ensembl:sense_intronic Gm14040 predicted gene 14040
AGGAAGAGGCCAGGAGAGAAGUUGAAGAAGGAACAAAGCUUGGAGUGGAAAAUCUGAUGGAGAAUUCAAGUGUCAGGGUCAUCUGACCAGCAUCCUGACUCCACUGGCUCACAGUGUGAGGCUGUGGAGGCUGCUGCUCUUCUCGGAACCUUUCUCUUGGGUCCUGAGACACUGGUUAGCACAAGCUGCACACAGUACUCAGCAGGGUUCCUGCUCGCUCUCAAAAGCCAUACUAUAUUGCUGAAGAAAGUCAGGGCAGAAUCCUGGAGCCAGGAGUUGAUGCAGAGACCAUAGAAGAUUGCUGCUUACUGGCUUGCUCCCAGUGGCUUGUUCAGCCUGCUUUCCUAAAGAUCCCUGGAUCACCAGCUAAGGGUGGCCACACCCACAAUGACCUGGAUCCUACAUCAAUCAAUAAUUAAGAAAAUGUCUUUCAGGCUUCCCCUUUCUCAUUGGAGGGAUUUUCUCAGUUGAGAUUCCCUCUUUCAGAUAACUCUACCUUGUGUAAAGUUGACGUAGGACUAGCCAGGCAAAGAGGGCUAAGAGCACCAUCUACUAUCUCAGGUGGUAUCCAGAUACCUGAAAUAUAACUGUACCAACAUACCUGAACAGGGCUUCUAAUACAGGCAAGCAAGCAAGAGUCUUCAAGUGUUGGAGGGAAGAAUUCUUUGGUGUGUCUCAGCAUGUGUGUGUGUG